CGAGAAUGCCAGGAACAUCAGCAUUGAGAUUCUAACCAAAAUGAACAGGAAUGAUCUGGUGCAUCGACUCCAGGGCUAAGAUCAGGUCCACCAGUGAAAGUGAAGCCAGUGACCUGAAAUGACCUGCAGGUCCUGCUUCACCCAUCCCAUCCGCUACACCAGUCUUCAACAUUUGCCAGAAGAUUAUUGCAGCUUUGCCAGAAAUUAGAAGUUCACUUCAGAUGUCUUUGAUCAUGGGAUUACAUCUUUAACAACAGGGUUUAAACUUUGAUUUUUGCCUGAAUUUGAUU